rnacentral:rRNA from 1 species
AAAUUGAAGAGUUUGAUCAUGGCUCAGAUUGAACGCUGGCGGCAGGCCUAACACAUGCAAGUCGAACGGUAACAGGAAGAAGCUUGCUUCUUUGCUGACGAGUGGCGGA